rnacentral:rRNA from 1 species
UUCGCCCUUAGAGUUUGAUCCUGGCUCAGGACGAACGCUGGCGGCGCGCCUAACACAUGCAAGUCGAACGAGCGAGAGAGAGCUUGCUUUCUCAAGCGAGUGGAGAACGGGUGAGGAACGCGUGAGGAACCUGCCUCUGAGAGGGGGACAACAGCUGGAAACAACUGCUAAUACCGCAUAAGCCCACGACCCGGCAUCGGGUAGAGGGAAAAGGAGCAAUCCGAUUUGAGAUGGCCUCGCGUCCGAUUAGCUAGUUGGUGAGGUAACGGCCCACCAAGGCGACGAUCGGUAGCCGGCCUGUGAGGUUGAACGGCCACAUUGGGACUGAGACACGGCCCAGACUCCUACGGGAGGCAGCAGUGGGGAAUAUUGCACAAUGGGGGAAACCCUGAUGCAGCGACGCCGCGUGGAGGAAGAAGGUUUUCGGAUUGUACACUCCUGUUGUUGAGGAAGAUAAUGACGGUACUCAACUAGGAAGCGCCGGCUAACUACGUGCCAGCAGCCGCGGUAAUACGUAGGUCACAAGCGUUGUCCGGAAUUACUGGGUGUAAAGGGAGCGCAGGCGGGAAGACAAGUUGGAAGUGAAAUCCAUGGGCUCAACCCAUGAACUGCUUUCAAAACUGUUUUUCUUGAGUAGUGCAGAGGUAGGCGGAAUUCCUGGUGUAGCGGUGGAAUGCGUAGAUAUUGGGAGGAACACCAGUGGCGAAGGCGGCUUACUGGGCACCAACUGACGCUGAGGCUCGAAAGUGUGGGUAGCAAACAGGAUUAGAUACCCUGGUAGUCCACACUGUAAACGAUGAUUACUGGGUGUUGCAGGAUUGCCCCCUUCAGUCCCGCAGUUAACACAAUAAGUAAUCCACGUGGGGUGUACGACCGCAAAGGUUGAAACUCAAAGGAAUGGCCGGGGCCCCGCACAAGCAGUGGAGUAUUGUGUUUUAAUUCGACGCAGCGCGUAGAACCUUCCCAAGUCUUGCCAUCCCUUGACGAUGCUGGAAACAGUAUUUCUCUCAGGAGCAAGGAGACAGGUGGUGCAUUGUUGUCGUCAGCUCGUGUCGUGAGAUGUUGGGUUAAGUCCCGCACCCAGCGCAACCCUUAUGGUCAGUUUCUACGCAAGAGGCCUUUGGCCAGACUGCCGUUGACUAAACGGAGGAAGGUGGGGAUGACGUCAAAUCAUCAUGCCCUUUAUGACUUGGGCUACACUCGUACUACAAUGGCGUUAAACAAAGAGAAGCAAGAUCGCGAGGUGGAGCAAAACUCAGAAACAACGUCCCAGUUCGGACUGCAGUCUGCAACUCGCCUGCACGAAGUUGGAAUUGCUAGUAAUCGCAGAUCAGCAUGCUGCGGUGAAUACGUUCCCGGGCCUUGCACUCACCGCCCGUCA